rnacentral:rRNA from 1 species
AUGCAAGUCGAACGAAGUAGCAAUACUUAGUGGCAGACGGGUGAGUAACAUGUAGGUAUCUACCCUUUGGCCUGGAAUAACACGAGGAAACUUGUGCUAAUACCGGAUAAGUCUUUACGGAGAAAGCUUUAUGCACCAUUGGAUGAGCCUGCACUUGAUUAGUUUGUUGGUGGGGUAAUGGCCUACCAAGACUAUGAUCAAUAGCUGAUUUGAGAGGAUGAUCAGCCACAUUGGGACUGAGACACGGCCCAAACUCCUACGGGAGGCAGCAGUAGGGAAUCUUGCACAAUGGAGGAAACUCUGAUGCAGCGAUGCCGCGUGAGUGAAGAAGGCCUUUGGGUUGUAAAGCUCUUUCGUCGGGGAAGAAAAUGACUGUACCCGAAUAAGAAGGUCCGGCUAACUUCGUGCCAGCAGCCGCGGUAAUACGAAGGGACCUAGCGUAGUUCGGAAUUACUGGGCUUAAAGAGUUCGUAGGUGGUUGAAAAAGUUGGUGGUGAAAUCCCAGAGCUUAACUCUGGAACUGCCAUCAAAACUUUUCAGCUAGAGUUUGAUAGAGGAAAGCAGAAUUUCUAGUGUAGAGGUGAAAUUCGUAGAUAUUAGAAAGAAUACCAAUUGCGAAGGCAGCUUUCUGGAUCAUUACUGACACUGAGGAACGAAAGCAUGGGUAGCGAAGAGGAUUAGAUACCCUCGUAGUCCAUGCCGUAAACGAUGUGUGUUAGACGUUGGAAAUUUAUUUUCAGUGUCGCAGCGAAAGCAAUAAACACACCGCCUGGGGAGUACGACCGCAAGGUUAAAACUCAAAUGAAUUGACGGGGACCCGCACAAGUAGUGGAGCAUGUGGUUUAAUUUCGAAGAUACGCGCAGAACCUUACCAACACUUUGACAUGUUCGUCGCGACUUUAAGAGA